UGUUCUGUUGCGGAGUUGGUUAACGCGCCCUGUCUAGCGAACUUGGUGAGACGUGUGUUCAAACCCCACCAGAACUA
rnacentral:tRNA from 1 species